rnacentral:rRNA from 1 species
GACACGGCCCAGACUCCUACGGGAGGCAGCAGUGGGGAAUAUUGGACAAUGGGCGCAAGCCUGAUCCAGCCAUACCGCGUGUGUGAAGAAGGCUUUCGGGUUGUAAAGCACUUUAAGUAAGGAGAAAAAGAUUGUAGUUAAUACCUGCAAUCCGUGAUGUUACUUACAGAAUAAGGACCGGCUAAUUCCGUGCCAGCAGCCGCGGUAAUACGGAAGGUGCAAGCGUUAAUCGGAAUUACUGGGCGUAAAGCGCGCGUAGGUGGUUUUUUAAGUUGGAUGUGAAAGCCCUGGGCUCAACCUAGGAACUGCAUCCAAAACUAGAUGACUAGAGUACGAAAGAGGGAGGUAGAAUUCAUAGUGUAGCGGUGGAAUGCGUAGAUAUUGUGAAGAAUACCAAUGGCGAAGGCAGCCUCCUGGUUCUGUACUGACACUAAGGUGCGAAAGCGUGGGUAGCGAACAGGAUUAGAUACCCUGGUAGUCCACGCCGUAAACGAUGACAACUAGCUGUUGGGAGACAAUGUCUUUCAGUGGCGCAGCUAACGUUUUAAGUUGUCCGCCUGGGGAGUACGGCCGCAAGGCUAAAACUCAAAUGAAUUGACGGGGACCCGCACAAGCGGUGGAGCAUGUGGUUUAAUUCGAUGCAACGCGAAAAACCUUACCUACUCUUGACAUACUUGGAAGCUCUUGUAAUGAGAGUGUGCCUUUUGGAACCAAGAUACAGGUGCUGCAUGGCUGUCGUCAGCUCGUGUCGUGAGAUGUUCCGUUAAGUCGGAUAACGAGCGCAACCCUUACCCUUAUUUGCCAGCGAUUCGGUCGGGAACUAUAAGGGGACUGCCGGUGAUAAACCGGAGGAAGGUGAGGACGACGUCAAGUCAUCAUGGCCCUUACGAGUAGGGCUACACACGUGCUACAAUGGGGAAUACAGACGGACGCUAAGCCGCGAGGUGGUGCUAAUCCUAUAAAGUUCUUCGUAGUCCGGAUUGGAGUCUGCAACUCGACUCCAUGAAGUCGGAAUCGCUAGUAAUCGCGAAUCAGCAUGUCGCGGUGAAUACGUUCUCGGGUCUUGUACACACCGCCCGUCACACCAUGGAAGUGGAUUGCACCAGAAGUAGAUAGUCUAACCUUCGGGAGGGCGUUUACCACGGUGUGCUUCAUGACUGGGGUGAAGUCGUAACAAGGUAGCCGUAGGGGAACCUG